ACUGAUAUGAUCUCAUCAUGGCCCUAAAAUCAUUAUCCAAUCUAUGGGGUUUAUCAUAAUCAUAAAAAAUAUGAUGUAAUAAAUGAUAAAAUAUAAUAUCUCAUAAAUAAAAAUAACUAAUAUCAUAUAAAUAUGUAGAAAAAAAUUUUAAAAAAAUUCCUUCGCAUCCCUAUGCAAUUGGCUUGUAGGGCACUAUUCAUUCAAGAAGGACUCCCCA
rnacentral:lncRNA from 1 species